rnacentral:misc_RNA from 1 species
UCGAGUUAGGGUCCUCUGGGCCCGACCUCCAACCCUGUGUCUACCGUACCUCUUGUUGCUUCGGCGGGCCCGUCCUCCCCUGUAAAUUGGGGGGCGACCGCCGGAGGGUUUACGCCCUCUGGCCCGCGCCCGCCGGUGGCCCCAAUCAAUAUUCUUGUUAAAAACCGUGUCGUCUGAGUUGAGAAAUCAAUAACUAAA